UUAGCCAUAGGAAGAAUAUUAACAACUGAAUUCAAGUUUGCUGCUAGAGGGAGAUGAAACUGGUGCUUCAAACUGGGAAAUACUGACCACUGUCAUGACACUGUGUCUUUGUAUGUCGAGACAGAGAAGUAGGACAGGGAGAGGACUGCUGCUCAGCACUCUCUAGUUUUAGUCUCUGUGUACCAUCUGAGAAACAGCUUUGACAUCGUUCAAGGAGAUUACAGUUUAAUGGGUGAGAGGUAUGCAGCAAUAAAGAGCUGCAGCAGCAUGCUUAUGUCUGUUGUAUAAUAAUAAUAAUAGUAAAAAAAUCUGUCACGACACUUACAAAAAUUUGAAGUAAAAUAGCAGAGAAAUAACCUGACGUUUUGAUUGCUGGGAUACUUUUCACCCCCCAAAAGAGAAUACAAAUUCUAAUGCCAAAAGUGCUUGGAAGUGCUACUGUGUUUAUGUGCGCAGAAAAGCACUCAUUAAUAGAGUUUUAGUGCUCAUGUAAGUGAGAGAUUAAUGGCCAUUGCCAGCCCUAGAGAGUUCAGCCAAGACUCUUGCAAGUUUCUGCCAGUGUAUGUGAAAACGCCUCUAUUCAUCCAGCCUUUGUCAGCCAGUCCCUUAGGAAGAAAUUGUGCUGAAUCAUGCAGUGCUCUGCGAUGCUGACGAGCAACUAUCACAUUCCUAUGCAAAUGGAGAAUAAAAUCAGGCCUGAACUGGAGGUUUCUGUUCACAGAUGAAAAGCUGGACCUCUUCAUGGCAUCUUUCUUAGGAGCAACAAGAAAUGCAGAGUUAUUUAAAAUACGACUUUGGCAAUUCUGCUCUACCAAAUACUGGUCUGAUGUCAACCCAAGUUUUCUUCGGUUACAGGACUUGGGUCAAUACAGAGUCAAGCUGAACAGAGACGCAGGUCAGCUCUUGCAGGGGAAAAGCAAGGGCAGUGUGGAGCCGCUCCCUACCGCAUCUGGCACCUGAGCUGAUACGAAGUGAGUUGAGAGCUGAGAACUAUAUGGUGAAAUUAUAUUCCUUGUUCUGAUGCGGUGUCUUGGCUUGGAGGUCCUGCCAUUUUGGAAAAUCAGAGAUCCACCUGAAGAAUUUGCUUUCUCCUACUCCCCAACCAUCACCCCAAACAUACUGUUAUAUAAAAGAAAGUUACACGUAUGAUAAUGCCUUUCCCUGAUGGUAAGGAAUCACAGAGGACAUAGUGACCGUGAAAAAACAGGCAGCUGUAAAAACAGCCAGUGCCCUGACAACACUACAUGGCUUGGAUUUCAGCACAUUAAAGGCAGUCCGGCUCAUGCCAAGAUGUGGAAUUGACAGCUUCUCCUGUGCCCGACAACUGACUCUCCCCCACACCUCCCCAAAGGGUCCCGUUUUUCUUCUGGUGACUGACUCUGUAACUCACAUUAUGGAGUGGGACUAAGUGAUCAGGAUUUGUGCUUAUUUUCUUCUGGUGGAUUAUCCCAGGAAGCUCUUAUUUAGAUUAAAGUGCUUGUUGAAUGAAAAAGUGGGAUGUCACAGUAAAGGUGUCUGGAUUAGAAAUAAAGGGAUAAUGAAUACAGACCCCCCCCCUUCCCCCCCCAUAUAUUUUAGGGAAGAGAAUUCAAGGCAAGGUUUUUAAAGGUAUUAGCUCCUGUGGAACUUGGUGCAUACUAUUUUUAAAAGUCUUGCCUUCUUUAUCCCCAAAUUAUUCUGUCAUGGCUUGAUUAUUUUACACGUGCCAGAUAUGCAGAUUUGUAUACCAGUUGUACUAUCUGUAUUUGCUGUAUUUUAUCCUCCAUACUGCCAAAGGCCAAUGAUUUGCAGCUGGGUAUGAAAGUAAAAUUUGAUUCUGCCUGAAACACGGCUGAGAGGAGGGGAGCAAUGAGCUGUGCUCUUGUUUAUACACGUAAGGUAAGAAAAACUACUUUCAUUUGACAGCAUGCUGUAUACUAAUAUCAUUACGCUCAAGGAAGAAAACAUUCCCUGCGAGUACUUUAAAGUCAGAAUUUCAGUCAUGGAACUUGGUAAUACAAGCAUAAGCAACAGCAAAAUGUUUUAUUACUUGGUCUGGCACUCCUUCUCAUGCUACCAAUAUUGCGCUCUCGGUUAGGCAACCAUAAAACUAGUUCACAAAGA